rnacentral:rRNA from 1 species
UACGUAGGGGGCUAGCGUUGUCCGGAAUCAUUGGGCGUAAAGAGCGUGUAGGCGGUCCGGUAAGUCCGCUGUGAAAGUCGGGGGCUCAACCCUCGAAUGCCGGUGGAUACUGUCGGGCUAGAGUGCGGAAGAGGCGAGUGGAAUUCCUGGUGUAGCGGUGAAAUGCGCAGAUAUCAGGAGGAACACCUAUUGCGAAGGCAGCUCGCUGGACGUCACUGACGCUGGAGACGCGAAAGCGUGGGAGCAAACAGG